GCCUUAUUAUUAAAUCUCCAGGCGAGUGUGAUCAAAUAAAGAGGUUCUCUGUAAUACUUGGAAAAUCUUAUCUGAUUCAGGAUCAAUUCAUCGGUUACACUCCCCUAUCACCAGUGGUUCUUUGUUUUUAGCUGACAUUCUGAAAAAAAGGUGUGUAAGUGUUGACUCGCAAUUUGCAUGAUUAAUAACAGAUAUCGACUCGUUACCCGGACUACUGCAAAAACAAUAAUUCAGUUCACUGAUUUAGAUUGAAGGUAAACGGACAGAAAGUCGCAGGACAAAAAGUCACAGGACAUAGUCACAAAUUUGAUAGGACAAAAAGUCACAGGACAAAAAGUCACAAACAAAUUGUUGACAAUUGGC
rnacentral:lncRNA from 1 species